rnacentral:rRNA from 1 species
ACGACCUCAGAGCAGGCGAGACUA